GGCUCAGAUUGAACGCUGGCGGCAGGCCUAACACAUGCAAGUCGAGCGGUAGCACAGAGAGCUUGCUCUCGGGUGACGAGCGGCGGACGGGUGAGUAAUGUCUGGGAAACUGCCUGAUGGAGGGGGAUAACUACUGGAAACGGUAGCUAAUACCGCAUAACGUCGCAAGACCAAAGUGGGGGACCUUCGGGCCUCAUGCCAUCAGAUGUGCCCAGAUGGGAUUAGCUAGUAGGUGGGGUAAUGGCUCACCUAGGCGACGAUCCCUAGCUGGUCUGAGAGGAUGACCAGCCACACUGGAACUGAGACACGGUCCAGACUCCUACGGGAGGCAGCAGUGGGGAAUAUUGCACAAUGGGCGCAAGCCUGAUGCAGCCAUGCCGCGUGUAUGAAGAAGGCCUUCGGGUUGUAAAGUACUUUCAGCGAGGAGGAAGGCAUUAAGGUUAAUAACCUUAGUGAUUGACGUUACUCGCAGAAGAAGCACCGGCUAACUCCGUGCCAGCAGCCGCG
rnacentral:rRNA from 1 species